rnacentral:misc_RNA from 1 species
AAUCAGGGAUCGACAGCUUCAAUUGUAGGUUUUGUGCUUUAAAUGUGAAAAAGUUUCACUAUGUUGAUUCAAUACAGAAAACAUCUUAUAGUAAUUGAGUCUUCAACAAUCAAUAAUGGUUCAAGCAGAUCUUAAAUAUUAUUUAAGGAAAACAUUAUUAUCAAAGUGGGAUUAAAAAUCUCUCCAAUGCACUUCAUUAGGUUGAUCCAUAAACCGUUUGAUUAUGGCCCUCUUUUAUGCUGCCACAUUUAGGUAAUGUACUGUAUUCACGUAACAGGAUAUUAUGAUUUCAUCAUAGUGGUUAAAG